CUGCGAGUCAGUCAGUCAGUCAGUCAGUGAAACCUCUUGGCAACCUGCAAAUGGAGUAAAACUAAAAGUGCCUCCUUUUAACUUAAGGCAUGAUUGGCAUUGGAAGCCAGCACGUGCUGGCCCUUUCUGUGGUGUCCCUAUUAUCUCUGGGGAUGGUAUAUGUCAUCUGUUUAUGGUGUCGAAGGAAAACAAAGAUAAUACAAGAAGACAAUCAACUGUAUGAUCCACAUGCACCAACAGUGAUUCAUCGCGAGGGAAGCAGGUUUGCUGUAACCCGAUCCAAAACAGUUACAAAACCCAAUCAGAUUACCAGGAGGCUUCCACCAGAGCCAGGGUCCAUGUCGGCUGUCGAAGUAGCCGACGGCCAAUCCAGCUAUGGAAAUGUUCCAAAUGGUGAAUUUUUCUUUUCAACUUCACUGCAGUAUAUUUUCAUUAAGUGUUCAGGCCUAAUACCAUUCAUAUUUUUAAAUAUAAAAAAUCGUGUACAUCUGACAAUUACCUAAUGAGCUCAUUAUUAUGUUUCCCAUUAUGACUCAACUUGUAGUUGAUACUUUUGAGCCUACAUACGUAGAUCCGAUUCCAGGUAGUUUGCCAUUAUAUGGAAAUCUCCCAGACAUGGACCAGGUCUCCUAUGAAAACGUCUUUCCUACACCAUCCAUCGAACAUGAUUCUAAUGGAUCAGAUUAUGAAAAUUCUGACUUCUUGAGGAAAAAUGCUGACGAUCCAGAUUAUGUCAACCAAGAAGAAACCUGACCUUGCACUUUUGAAAACUACACUGUGAAACAUUUGACCUUUCAAAGCAGAAGCAGCACAGUGUUUGUUCCAGACAGGGCUCUUCUGCUGAAGCACUGCCACACACACACACACACACACACACACACACACACACACACACAAACACACCUACACACACACA